UUACCAUCACUCCUUGUGACUAUUUCGGAUAAUCCACAUUGCCUCAUCAAACCAGAAAACAAUUCAAACCUGGCCUGCUUCUAACUGAAAGCCACAUUUUAAGAACUUAUUGGAAGAACUGGAAAGCCUCCAAUAGAACAGAAGCUAAAAGCAGAAAUCAUAAAAGCUGUUACACCUACUCAGCUCUAUUCCAUGUUGGAAAAACUGAACAAGAGAAAUAAUUAUAUACACUAUCUCUUCUGGAAAAGCUGGAUUGGGUUUUGUUCUGUAUCAAUAGGGCCCAGUAUACAGCACAAGGCUGCCUCUCCUGCUCUCCAGUCAUACUUCCAAGAAAGCUGCUCACUCUCAGAACCAAAGUUCAAUUUAUACAUUGUGGUUUGGGUAGAGG